GACGAACGCUGGCGGCGUGCUUAACACAUGCAAGUCGAACGGAAAGGCCCUGCUUUUGUGGGGUGCUCGAGUGGCGAACGGGUGAGUAACACGUGAGUAACCUGCCCUUGACUUUGGGAUAACUUCAGGAAACUGGGGCUAAUACCGGAUAGGAGCUCCUGCUGCAUGGUGGGGGUUGGAAAGUUUCGGCGGUUGGGGAUGGACUCGCGGCUUAUCAGCUUGUUGGUGGGGUAGUGGCUUACCAAGGCUUUGACGGGUAGCCGGCCUGAGAGGGUGACCGGAAACAUUGGGACUGAGAUACGGCCCAGACGCCUACGGGAGGCAGAAGUGGGGAAUAUUGCACAAUGGGCGGAAGCCUGAUGCAGCAACGCCGCGUGCGGGAUGACGGCCUUCGGGUUGUAAACCGCUUUCGCCUGUGACGAAGCGUGAGUGACGGUAAUGGGUAAAGAAGCACCGGCUAACUACGUG
rnacentral:rRNA from 1 species